GAAUUCAGUCGCUGCUGUACCUUUGGUUCGGUUGAACGUCGCCGGAGGAAACGGAAGUUUAAGUCACGCGAUAAAUAAAUCAUGAAGUACUUGUUGAUAUUUUCUGCAUUUUUCACGGUAUUACAUGCGCAGAAUUAUAAUUGCGGACGGGACAAAAUCAAUGCCACAGAGUAUAUCUCUGAAAAUAACUCGAGCCAACAGGAUCUUAUGAUGAUUUAUAGAAGGCAAAUGAGUUUGCCUGUCGCUUGGCCACGUGAAACGCUCAUAGAACUUGUGCCAUUAUCAUGCUUUCACCCACCCGUGAUUUCCGUCAAAAGGUGCUACGGGUACUGUCGGUCACCUCUCAACUAUAAACCGUUAAAAAUCACCAAGAAGCAAAUUAUCGUUAACCGUCGAUGCAAUGGUGCGGGAAAUAAGAGAGAGAACAAGUACAUCGCAAUAGAUGUCGAGGAACAUGUCGAAUGCAGCCGUCGUUGUGAGUGCCUGAUACCGGAAGAGGACUGCGUGAAAGACAAUAAACGCUUGAAUUCUUCUAUAUGUGCCUGUGUGUAACAGAAAUUUUGGAUAGAGCGGUAAAUGAAGCAAUAUACGUUAUGUUCCGGAAGUCACAGAUCAAAAAAGUCGACGGUUGGCAGCCAUUUGGUGAGGUGAACUUGAUUUUGGGAACAUUCCAUAUAUUGUCGAGCCACGAUUGAAAAAAAAUUGCCCAACCAACUUGACGUUGAUAUUUGAAAUGGUUAAAAAGGUACUAACAAUAGGAUAACUACUACGAAGGUUAGGGAUUAGGUUUGAAAAGGGCGCAACCAGCGAUUUUUCGACUAAAGACAAUCCUGCUAACGUGUCUCAACAGUUUUAACAUUCGGGUGGCAUACUA